GGAUAGCUAAAUCGGUAGAGCAUGAGAUCCUUAAUCUCAGGGUUGUGGGUUCGAGCCCCAAAUUGGGCA